UUCCCCUUCUGAGAUUUCUACCAUUUGUGUAGUGAUGGAGCUGAAGACGGUAACGUUAACCCAGGCGAACGGUUUCUGCAUCAUACCCGUAUUCCCUUUCGAAAGCCAGCAACAGGACCCCGACCAUGCCUCCACCCAUCUGUCCUCCUCAAACCUGAACCCAGAUCAGCAGAGUGUGACCCCGAUGACCCACACAUCAGGAAGCUCAGCAGACAAGUCCAGUGUCUGACAAAACUUCUCGGUACGGCCUGGAUCCUCAGCUUCUACGCAGUGUGGUCCAUGUGAUUAAAGAGGACAGGAUCCAGUAGGAGGGGAAAUCUUCAGUUCCCCGUCUCUGCUCAACACAAUGCACCCUGGAGGACAGAGCGUGAUGUGCCAGUUUGAGGCUGAAGAUUGUGUUAAGGGCUUUGCACACUGCGGGGCCUUCAUGAUCCCUGCUAUGAGCUAGCAGGACUGCAGGCAAAGAUUCUACUGUCCUUUCUGCUACAAACUCACAGAAUUGCCAUGGCAGCAGAAAAGAAACCUGAGAUCAGUCUUGGCCCAUAUGAUACUGCAAAAACAGGAAUGGCGUGAAUUUGUUUUGAACUUUAAUUUUUCUCUUGUUUUAUACUAUGUAUUGUAAUACAAACAACUAAUUCAAAGCAUGAUCAUGUUUUGUUUUUAUUUUAAAAUAUACACUACAGUAUAUAUUUAUCUGUCCAAAAGAAGUUAAAUAAAAUGCAUCUAUCUAUAAUAAAAAGUGCCUCACAUGGUUCCGUAGAGUGAACAAAGGCUUCCUGAAUCGAUACGUUUUUGUAAGAAAAAUAACCAUAUUUAAAACGUAAUAAUCAGUUUAAUCUAGCUUUUGUUCACUGUUGUACACGGAAGCAGCUCCAGGCGAAGACAUAUGAGGUUGGAAAGUGACGAACACAGAAUCGCAGGGUGAAGAAUAAAAAAACAAAACAACGGUCAUGAAUUAGUAUGAAUUAUAUGAAGUACAAAACAAGGAUUUGUAAAGAAGACUGUCAGAGGAUUUCGAUAUAAGCCAAGAGGAGACUGGUUUUCCUUUGCUAAAGUAAGGAAACUUUAGCCCCUUUCACACUGCACGUGGGUCCCGGAAAAUUGCCGGGUCGCCUUCUAUGUGAAUGCAAACAGGUCCCGGGUUUGAUCCCAGCUUGGGGACCUAGUAGCAUUGCCGGGUUCAAUCCUGGAACGAGUUCUGUGUGAACAAAAGGCAGAAAUAAUGCCAUAAAGGGUGUGUCGUAAUGAUGACGCAUGCUAUCGUGCGACUCUUUUAAUAGGUGUUUUGAAGGCAGAUCAACAUUCGCGAUGAAAAAAAGAUGUGCAAACUGUAAUGAAGCAGAGAUCAGUUAGCUCAUCACUAUCCACGCUUAAGCUGAGAUCGUUUGCCAGCUUAAGUGAAAGUUAACGUGAACUAGCGUUUUCGACUCGUAGUUUAGAAGAUCAUAGUGAAGAAUUAUCGUUAUAGCAAGAGGCAAAAGGUUACCAAUAGUCCUUUCUUCUUGGGCAGAGUUCUACAGGAAAUUUCACUUUUCAACCCUGAAUCGGAAGAUAGAUCCAGCUCACAAGAGCUUCCUGUUUCUGCAGGACUGAAGAUUCUUCAGGCAAGAGCCUUAAUAUGAGUCUUAAACAUGCAUGUGCUCUUGCUGAAAAAUUCUACAUCUGUGCUGCAUGCCUCACCUUGUUUCUGAAAGCACAAAUCAGAAAAACUCCUCUGGUUUCUUCAGCUCUAGCAAAGUGAAGGUGAUUUAAAGAGCAUGUAUUAUUUUCCACAAUAUUAGCCAUAAAGGUAGUUUUGAGGUUUAUAUAAAAGUUUCCUCUUGGUUUCAUGUUAGUCCAUCUUCCAAGGACCAGAUUCCUCGAUCUCAUUGGCUAAAGAGUGCUGCAGUGUGCACAUCUUUGUGUUCUCCCAUCAGGAAGUAGGCGGGGCUUUGCCAGGGCACAUCCCCUUUCUCACAGGGGGUGGUGUCAUCUGCUAUAACAGACUACAGGUAAUAAAUGCCAUCUGCACUCAGUCAACAUCAGUAACACCCUCAUGUCCUAUUACAUCAGAUGUAGAAAACCUUAGAGCCCAGUUUCUCUAAAACUGCUUUACAGAUUUGAAAUUUCAAAACAACCCUAUGGCUGCCUCGAGAAUUAGCCUGGAAUGUCAUAAUGGUUGGUACUUGUUAAAAGUCUCUGCUGCUAAUACAAGGUUUUUCUAGACAUCUUAUUAACUGAAAGUGUUACAAAGUUCGCCUUCCUGCUCUAUUAUCAUAGUCGCCCUGAGCAAGCCACUUUAUCCAGUG